GAUGAACGCUGGCGGCGUGCCUAAUACAUGCAAGUCGAGCGAACAGACGAGGAGCUUGCUCCUCUGACGUUAGCGGCGGACGGGUGAGUAACACGUGGAUAACCUACCUAUAAGACGGGGAUAACUUCGGGAAACCGGAGCUAAUACCGGAUAAUAUAUUGAACCGCAUGGUUCAAUAGUGAAAGACGGUUGUGCUGUAAGGUAUAGAUGGAUCCCGGCCGUAUUGGCUGGUUGGUGAGGUAAAGGCUUACCAAGGCAACGAUGCGUAGACGACGGGAGAGGGUGAUCGGCCACCUUGGAGCGUGGCCAGCCACAAUACUCCUGCGAGACGCAGCAGUAGCGUAUGUUCCGCAGUGGUCGAAAGCCUUACGGAGCGACGCCGAGUCAGUGAUGAAGGUCUUCCGAUCGUAAAACUCUGUUAUUAGGUGAGAACAAAUGUGUAAGUAACUAUGCACGUCUUGACGGUACCUAAUCAGAAAGCCACGGCUAACUACGUG
rnacentral:rRNA from 1 species